ACAACAGAGAUGUCAGGCUAGGGCAAGGAGUCCCUGCUGUUCCGGUGAUUAACUAUGUGUGCACCGAGAUCAAGAAAGUAGCUGAUGAGAGCCAGUCUAUUCUGGAGAAGACACCGGUUGGAACUGGCAAUGAUGAUGGUUCACUACGAGCAUUCCUCAAGCGUCAGGCCAAGAAGUUAAGGCGAUUAUCGAACCUUCUCGGU